rnacentral:rRNA from 1 species
GACGAACCGUGCAAACGUUGUUCGGAAUCACUGGGCUUAAAGGGCGCGUAGGCGGACUCUCAAGUCGGUGGUGAAAUCGUUCGGCUCAACCGGACAAGUGCCGCCGAUACUGGAAGUCUCGAGGGAGGUAGGGGUCGAGGGAACUGGUGGUGGAGCGGUGAAAUGCGUAGAUAUCACUAGGAACGCCGGUGGCGAAAGCGCUCGACUGGACCUCUUCUGACGCUGAGGCGCGAAAGCUAGGGGAGCAAACGGG